rnacentral:lncRNA from 1 species
AUGGAGAUAGACGACAGGACGAAUGGGUUCGAUUACCCAGAGAGAAACAAUACGAAGUCCGUUAACGGCUUCUAUGGUGACCAUCCCUUGGAAGUUGAACAGAAUGAUGUCGUAGGUGAGUUUACUUGUAUUUUAACAUCAUGAUAGGACAAAUACACGUCUAACCACUAUCAUUAGUGAUAAAGUCAUUCAUGUAUUUUCCUGUUCUUCCGUAAAUUUUCAGUUGAGUUUGGAGUUUAUUGUGAGUGGUGAUAUUAAUUCCACACAUCAUCUAAUGUCAGGUUUGUAACAUUCACCCAGCAGCAAUACGUUGGGAUGGCAGUAAAAUUGGCUCAAUGACGCUCUAUAGUGGUGAGAUAGAAUAGUACAUGUACUGGUCCUCGGUGUAGGGCAGGGGUGUCAAACUCGUUCCAUGGAGGGCCAAGUGUAUGCAGGGUUUUGUUUUUUUCCUUCAAUUAAGACAUAGACAACCAGGUGAAGGGAGUUCCUUACUAAUUAGUAACCUUAAUUAAUCAAUGAAGUACAAGGGAGGAGCGAAAACCCGCAGACACUCGGCCCUUCGAGGAAUGAGUUUGACACGUGGUUUAAGGAGUUACCUAGCCAGGAUGCCACUAUUCCCCCAGUUUCUGAAUAAACAUUAAUCAAUGUCAAUAUUGUGUUGAAUGUAACCCAUAGUUUAGGAUACGUGGAUUUAACAAGACUGAUUUAACAACACUGUACUAGACCUACAGUUGAAGUCGGAAGUUUACAUACACCUUAGCCAAAUACAGUUAAACUCUGUUUUUCACAAUUCCUGACAUUUAAUCCCAGUAAAAAUUAAUUGUCUUAGGUCAGUUAGGAUCACCACUUUAUUUUAAGAACGUAAAAUGUCAGAAUAAUAGUAGUGAGAAUGAUUUAUUUCAGCUUUUAUUUCUUUCAUCACCUUCCCAGUGGGUCAGAAGUUUACAUACACUCAGUUAGUUUUUGGUAGCAUUGCCUUUAAAUUGUUUAACUUGGAUCAAACGUUUCGGGUAGCCUUCCACAAGCUUCCCACAAUAAGUUGGGUGAAUUUUGGCCCAUUCCUCCUGACAGAGCUGGUGUAACUGAGUCAGGGUUGUAGGACUCCUUGCUCGCACAUUGUCCAUUUGGAAGACCCGUUUGCGACCAAGCUUUAAC